CGGUGGGCGCCGCGCGUGCGCCGAGGGGCGGCCUCCAUGGCGGCGCCGGCGGGAGCCGAGGCGAGGUUUGUAAUGGGCAGCCGAGCUCCUUGAACGACUUUUCUUUGGGAUGGGAGGUCAUCUGGUAAUGGAAGAAAAUGGAGUUGACCAUGAUGUUGCUAUGGAAAGAUCUAAUGUUUUGUUUGUAGGCAACUGCAAUGGUACAGGACAGUUGGAAACAAACGAUCAGGUUUUUCAGUGUUUAACCUGCAUGGAUUCCAAGGAUCCGUUGUUUGGACAGAGCGACUCUCCCACAGCCUUGCCUAUCACAGUACGCUUUUUGGGUAGUUCUCCGUCAUUAGCUGCACCUGCACGGCCACCCCAGCCUCAGCCUCUCUCCACAGAGGAGUUCCACCUGGUAGACCAAAACGGGCAGCCUCUCUAUGAGCUGCAGCCCCUAGGAGGGCCCAGCGCGCAGAUGAUGAUUGUUGCCAGCCAGUCAGAAAAUGGCCAGGUGCUGCAUGUCAUUCCUUCUGCCCAGCCAGGAGUGGCCCAAGUGAUUAUUCCUCAAGGUCAGCUUCUGGAUGUGACCAGCACUCAGGAUGUUUCAGAUGAGAAGUGUGGUGAUGGGAACUUGCAGACUGUGGCAAUGGCUGCUCUAGCAGACAGUGCAAGCAGUUAUAUUCUGCAUCCACAGGCAUCUCUCACUGUAUCAAAAAAAACAACCACCAGGAUGUUGGAAGACCCCUUUCCCAUCCCUCUCCAGCAAUUGCCACCAAACACACCUGCAUGGGCACGCCGUCUCAGGAACUGUGAGAAAAUUGGGGACUCAUACCGCGGCUAUUGUGUGAGCGAGACAGAAUUAGAGAGUGUUCUAACGCUACACAAGCAGCAAACACAAAGUGUGUGGGGGACGCGCCAGUCUCCAAGCCCAGCCAAACCAGCCACACGGUUGAUGUGGAAAUCUCAGUAUGUCCCAUAUGAUGGGAUCCCCUUUGUCAAUGCAGGAAGCAGAGCCAUUGUAAUGGAGUGCCAGUAUGGACCAAGAAGGAAAGGGUUCCAGCCCAAAAAAGCCAGUGAACCUGAAAGGAUUUCUGUCCAUCUGUACAAAGCCACUUGUCCGGCAAGGAUCUAUAUUAAAAAGGUUCAAAAGUUUCCGGAGUACAGAGUUCCUACUGACCCUAAAAUUGACAAGAAAAUCAUAAGAAUGGAGCAGGAGAAAGCAUUCAACAUGCUCAAGAAGAACUUGAUAGAUGCUGGUGGUGUCCUCAGGUGGUAUGUACAGUUACCCACUCAGCAAGCCCACCAAUAUCAUGAAAUAGAAACUUCCUGCCUCCCUUCUUCACCCUCCCAUUUUUCUGCAUCUUCUCCUGAGGAGGAGGAGGAAGUUGCUAGAGAUGAGAACUGUACUCUGCCUUCCCGACUUCAUCCUCAAGUGGCAGACAAGAUCAGAGAACUGGUGUCUCAGGGAAUAGAGCAAGUCUAUGCAGUGAGGAAACAACUGAGAAAGUAUGUGGAAAGAGAAUUAUUCAAGCCUGAUGAAGUGCCAGAGAGGCAUAACCUAUCCUUCUUCCCCACUGUGAACGACAUCAAGAACCACAUUCAUGAAGUGCAGAAGUCCCUGAGAAAUGGCGAGGUGGUGUAUAAUUCAGAAAGCAUUCCAGCGACAUUGCAGUGGACCACAGACAGUGGGAACGUUCUCACAGAAACAGUGACUGUUACUUUUGCCUCACCAACUUCAGCUGGGAGCUCACCAGCAGAGUCAAUCAUCACCAAAGGAGAAUCCAACCAGAGUGGGGAGUCCUUGCUACCAGAAACAGCUCAGCUGUUGUCUUCACUAACUUCACUUCAGCCCAAGAUAUUUGCACAACUUCAGGGAUUACAGCUGCAGUCAACUUUUACCUCCACAAAUGAAUCAACAGCCCUGAUAGCUGUAAAUAACCAUUCCCCUCCCAGCUCUGCAAGUCUCUUGGAUUCCACAGGGAGUGCAAUAACAAACCAUUCUCUAGUACUUGGUCAGGGGCACAGUCUGCAAGCAGGUGCUGGCCUAGCACAGCAUAGUGCUGCUGACUCUGCUUAUGGGACUCCACCUGGCUCUAAUCAGAGUCUGGUCACCAUGGGCCAGCUGGUAGCAGUUGAAGGGGUAGAUGAUUCCAGAAGCCUAGAGGGAGGAGUCCAGCAAAUUCUUUUGGGAGGUGUACAGACUAUUCCAGUACGGAUUGUGGACAGUCAUCCUGUGCUUACUGAAGAAAAUACAGAGGGAGUUAUCUGUGUAAGCCACGUUAAAGAAGAGCCAAGAGAAAAAGCAUUAUCCAUGGAGCCAGACAAAAUCAGAGACUGCCAGAGAUCCUCUUCUAUUUAAAUCUGUGAAGGCUGUAAAGGAUUUUUCAAAGCAGAGGAUUCUAAGUGUCUUGGAAGGAAAGGCAGGUACUCUAAGUAAUGCCAUUCUUUUAAAAUGGUAUUGUGACGUUCAGACUGGGCAUAUUAUACACUAGUUCUGACAGACAGCUGUUUUGAUAUACAAUUGAUGUGACUCACUGCCAAUUCCAGGUCAUCCAGUUACCAUGUGGAACACCAGCUCUUUUGUUUCAUAUUUUGAGUAGUUUGGACACUAUCCACAUGGCCCAUUUUGGUCAGCAUUUCUGAAGGUCUUCCAUAAUUAGUUUUAGAAUAUGGAUUAAAAUGCUGGGUUUGCUUUUCUCCUUGAGACCCUCGACUAUUACAGCACUACAGAGACUAUAAAAUCUGCCAGCUUCCAGACCACAGAAUCCAACAGCAAAGUGUAUCAAUGCAUCAAUAGUUUUGUGACAAAAUGAAGGCCGAAGAUGGUACAUUUCAAAGUGAUGAAGGACACGGAUAUUUAAGAAAAGCGACUUUGACCCGAUCGUAAUGUUAAUGAUGUGAAGAUCCAAGAAGAGGAGAAAGGAUCGCUUACCUCUGAGAGUACUCCAGCUAAAACCAGCAAGAGAUCAGAAUGGAGAACAGAAGAGGAAGUGAAGUUUGCGUGAAGCUGCUUCCAGGAGAUUAGAAAGCUAUCAAAGUUGCAGCUCAAGAUUGCAGUUUCUUCUGGCUGAAGUGGUUCACUUUGAAUGUGUGCUAGUUAUCUUCUGAAUGCAAACUGGUAUAACAACAGUUCUUGGUUGUUGACAAAGCUGCUACCACACCUGAGGUUUUGUACCUGGAAGGAGAUGGAGGUUCAAGCGUGGAGGAGUUGUUCUGAGGAAAGGAUGCUGCAGCAGUACUUUCUACUUCAUUUACUUUGGUAGUGUUGCUCUUGCAAGUGAUGAGGGUGGUAGCAGCAUCUUCACAGCAUUAUAUCUAGCUAUGCUUCUGAAGGGGAUAAAGUUAGAGAGAGCAUUUUCCUGUUGCGGUCAGAAGGGAACUUCCUUAGAAAAUUCUCUGUUAAAAUGAACAUGGCAAAUCAUUAGAGCUGUUUGUAUGGAGGACACAAAACUAUUUGUGGUGGACCAAGAAGACUUCUUAGCUAAUAAAUUAGAGGAAGAGCUUCAAAAAGGAUUGCACUGUCAUUGUAACUUCAUCAAGUAAUUUCUUCCAAUGAUAUCACUCACUUUUGACUAUUGUUUUACUGUUUAGUUAUUGUAUAAUAUAUUUCAUAAAUUUUCUUGGCUAUGUAAAGGCCGUAGAUGAAAUGCAUAUAAUGAUUCUCUUGUCUUCUGAGGUUCUGUCAAAGAGAGAGGAAUUCCCCGUUUUGCAGUUGUCAGGAUCAGCCAUGAGUACUUAGCCACCAGCUCCUCUUGAAGGACACAUGAUUGUACAUGUUCCCCAACUACCAAAAGUCUUUUGUGCUGAAAUACUCCAUAAACUUCUGAACUUGGUUCAGGCAAAAUGAAUUUGCUUGGAAUGCUAUAGUUGGGGUCAUGAAAAUGUGGCACCUUUCAUUUAAAAAACUACUACGAAGACUACCCUGGAACCAAAUUUGUCAUCCUCAGAAGCCACAACCUAGGGUUUAUCAGUUGAAACAGUAAAACAAUCGAUGUUUUUGUUGUGAAAUUGUUUUGUUGUUUGUUUUUUGUUUUUUUUUUCAGCAAGCUCAAUCUAUGAAAAAAGUGUCUCUACUACUUCUCUUUCAGAUAUGUGAACUUCUUUGCAAAAUGAUCUGAGGUAUUACUAGUGAGAUUAGCUAACAGCUGCAAAAUGGAACAGUUUUGCUGUGGAUAGGUGAUUAAAAAAAAUCACAGUCGAUCAGCAUAAUACUGAUUAGUAAGGUAAGGUCUUUCAGACAUUGACCAAAGGCUGAUACUUUUGGUGAUAAUGCAUUUAUUCUGAGCUUGCAAACAGAAGUAGUGAUUAUAAGCCAUUGCAGAAAGAACUGGUAAAUAAAGUACUUUGUAAA